UUGUUUUGCAGGGUGUCCUGGAAUUAAUAAAACUCGAGGAGUGGGGCUGCGGCUCCUCUGUGGACUAAGUGUGUGGUAUCACUGCUUAGGUCAACAAGUGCCUGUCAGGGCCGGAAAUGCCCGUGGAGCAGAGGGCCUUUGAGUCGCGGGGAAAGACACCGUGGGCUGCACCUGAAGCUGCAUGUUUGUCUGGGGUUACAUGAGUUUAACAGAAGGAUUUUUCUACCGGAAAAGAACGAAGACGCAAGCCUUGGUUACCCCAUUUCAGAGGAGAUUUUAAAGAGGGAUCUGGAAAACUGUUUUUUCCUUUUUUUCACUCAUCAUCAUGUUACACAGUUUCUAAAGACCUGAUCUCAACUUUCCUCUCAGCACAGGCUAUAAUUUUUUUUGCUAAGACGAUCCUUUUCUGUCAUUCUCUUGAAUGUUUCUCUUCCUGGGUGACUGGGAGAAUUCCUUCAAAAGGAUUUCUGAGACUGGUGUUUCCCAAACAACAGAGAACAUCGUACCCCUAGAAAUGGAGGACCAAGUGGCUUUUGUGAUAAGCAAGACCUCACCUGCACUUCGCAGACACUCCCAGCAGAGGAAAAAUACCAAACAGAAAGGGAAAGUGGUCAUGGAACAGAUUCUGCUACCAAGAAAUCAGGGAAUAAAUGGCCAGGGAUGAGUUUCAUAAGACCUGAAUUAUACAAUUCAGAGAACAAAAUUCAUAAAUUUAUCUAGUUGUUUCCUGACAAUUUCAUUCGAUCUGCCUAAGUUAGCUACCCCAUAGUUCACCUAGAAAUGUUUCCUAGUUCCCUUACCUAUUGGUGCAUAAAAGCUGCUUUCACAUGUCUCCAGUUUCCAACCUACAUAUCAGCCAGUGAUUUGCAUAAUCCUUAAACCCCCACCCCCAUUCCUUUUUUCAGCCACCUAAUGCAAACAAGAUCUGGCUCAGGCUUCCCUAAACUAAUCCACGGAACACCAUUUAGAAGGGAGACUAUUCCGUGUAAGUUGGCACGGCCGAAUGAGAUCUCUAUUGUAUAAGGGGCAGUCCCAGUAGAAAGACAUUAAUGAAUAUGCCAGUGGGGAGAGCCUCAGCUUCCCAGUUGCUUGCUGGACCCUAAAGCUGUAAGAACUCUGUGAAACUUGAAUGUUUCUUUUUUUAACCAAGGUAAGGAAUUUAAUGCCACUGCCCUGUCUGAAUCCUUACAGCUCAUCAAGACCCAAGUCAUAAACAACAACUUCAGGAAGAAUGAAGCCUAGCCUGAGCCUCCCUCCAAAUUCUCCUUUUCCCACUCACUGCUUCACACUUGAACUAACCAGUCUGUCCUCUAAACUCGAAUAUGCUUUUCUGGUAAUAUUUUAUGACCCCUACCUUGCCCAUAAAAAUGUAAGUUCUUUAGAGGCUGAGACUGUGUUUAAGCAUCUUUGCAAAACCCGCAGCUUGUUAGCACAAAUAAUAAAUGCUUCUUGAAUAAAUACAUAUGUUUUUAAAAAUAACUUGUUAUUUUAAAACAGUUAUUUAGUGCUGUUUUUCCCCAGUAUCUCCAGGUUUCAGCUCACUCUUUGUAUUCUCCCUCCAAAACCCCUCCCCUCUCACCUUUCAGAUCUGCUGAGACCAGCGCUACUGAACAGACACGAUGGAAAUGUUCCUUAUCUAUGUGGGCCCAUAUGCUAGCCUCUGACCUCAUGUAGUUAUUGAGCGCUUGAAAUGUGGAUAGUGGAACUCAUAACUGAUUUUUAAAUUUUAUUUUAUCUUCAUGUAUUUAAAACUUAACCUAGCCACAGGUAGCCACUAGGCUACUGUAUUGAAGAGCACAGGACCUUGACUCUUCUGAGAAGUCUUGCUGAAGAACCACUCUAGACACCUCCCAGCCAUCAGUAUGAAGGUAGAUUAGGAGCUUACCUUGUGCUUGACUUUAUCAUAAUAUUUAUCACAACAUACUUAGUUUUCUAUUUAUUUACCUGAUUUUCUUAUUGGACUGUAAGUUCUUGAGUCUUAAGUUAUAGCUUAUUUAUCAUUGUAUCUCUGAGAACCAGGUGUAAUACUGGUAUUUUAAAAGUGCUCAAUAAAUAUUUCGGGAGGAAAAGGAUGAAUGAAUGAACUGAUUGCUCAGUGGACGGCUAGAGACAUUUUUUAAUAUAUAAGAAAUCUACAAAACAGACUUGUUGGAACAGUGAGCUGGGAACUAAGAGAUGAAUGGUGGUGAUGUGACAAAUUAUCUUUGUCUAAGGAGCAUACGCAGUUCUUUAGCUCAUCUUUCCUCACAAGCUCAGGCCCUGCCUUCUGCUUCACUGGAACACAGGAACAACUCGCUUGUAGACUCUCUGGUCAUUAAGCCAUGACUUUGUCCAGACUUGCCCUUUAAGAAAAUUCCCAGGAGAUAAAGUUCACUGCAAUGACGGAGUGAGAUAAACAUGCUUUUUGCUGUGAUCCCAUGUUCUCACAUACCCCAUACUGGUCUACCGAACAGCUGAACUCAUUCAUCAGAUUUGAAAAUAAUCAGGUUUUUUACACUCUGUUAUCAUGGGUACGGUUGUUCCAGAGGGUGUGUUGGCAAAGAGCCUACUGAACCAUGUCCUCGAGACCGAACCACAUCCAUCCAAGGGCCUGGGGAGUUCUUGCUCCUUUGCUAGCUUUAUUCCAAGUACACUUGCAAAGCAUAAGGGAAACUCUUAUGCAAACCAAAAAUGAUCCUAGGUGUUUAGGAAAAAAUAAUGCCAAAAGUUGGCAUGGCAUGAUUCAUGUCAUUUUAGGGUACCUAGAUAAUUAAGUCUCAGGGCUAGACGUAUUCCAAAUAUUUGGAUAAUUCAAAGUAAUUUGCACAGACAUAGUAAAAAUCUAUUUUAGGUGGUGGAAUUUAAUAUAUAUUUCUUGGUGAGAAUUUAGUCUUCUGUGCAAUUUUAGCCCUAAUAUUUUAACAUUAACAGGUUUAAUGUUAUAAAGUGUUUUUGUACUUAUAAGCUUGUGAACUAACAAACCAUAAAACAAUAACAUGUGUUUACAAUUUGAAAAUAUACUGCACUGAGCUCUGUUUUCUAAAAUAAAUUUUGAACUAUUUGU
rnacentral:lncRNA from 10 species